UUCAUCGCAAGGUCAUUCCAAGGUGUCAGAGUUUAACUCUGAGCCAGAAGUUGCCACAAGCCAGCAUGUUUCUCCCAAUGAUGAAUGGCCUUCUAUUGAGCACCCACCAGCUAUGUCAUCUGUCUUAGAGGGAUCAGCACAGUCUGACCUCUAUACAAAACCAGCACACUCUGACCUCUAUACAAAACCAGCACACUCUGAACUCUAUACAAAUCCAUCUAACUUGUCUGUGGAUAGAACAGACCAACAAAUAGAGGCCCAGUUAGAUGAGGUCGAGGAAGAAGAGGAUGGUCCUCAUGAAAUCCCGAAAACGAACCAUGUUGGAUCUGCC
rnacentral:lncRNA from 1 species